AGGUAAAAAGAGAAAACUUUAAGAUCUAAUCCAGAGUACCACGAGACACGUGAAACCUUGUGGGAAGCAGGGAGGACCACCUCCCAAGGCUAAAUACUACCUAGUGACCGAUAGUGAAGCAGUACCGGGAGGGAAAGGUGAAAAGAACCCCGGAAGGGGAGUGAAAUAGAACCUGAAACCGUGUGCCUACAACCGAUCGGAGCACGUUAAAGUGUGACGAUGUGCUUUUUGUAGAACGAGCCAGCGAGUUAC
rnacentral:rRNA from 1 species